CCGUGAAACGUGAGAGCCAAUGAGUGCGAGACGUUGAGUGACAGCUGUCCAAUGGGGACCCUCAGUGCUAGCACCCUUUGCAGCUUAAGCGCUGGUACGGUGUGAGGAAUGUCAACUAUUCAACAUGGAGGCGGAGGUCGAUAAGCUGGAACUGAUGUUCCAGAAAGCUGACUCUGAUCUGGAUUACAUUCAAUGUAGGCUGGAAUAUGAAAUCAAGACUAAUUAUCCUGCUUCAACAGGCAAGAAAAAUCCAGUUACACUCUUAAAGGAAUUAUCAGCGAUAAAAUCUCGAUAUCAGACUUUGCAUGUGAGAUUUAAAUCAGUUGCUGUGGAGCAGAAAGAGACUAAGACUCGUAUUUGUGCUAUUUUGAAUAAUACUGUGACCAUGAUACAAGAACUACAAAAGCAAACAGACUUGGAGAGUACUGUAGGGUUGCACUUGGUUGAGCACAAGUUACAAUGAGCAAGGACCUGAGUUUGAAACCUUGGACCCCACCUCCAGGGGAGAAACUUCACUAGUGAUAAAGCAGAGCUGCAGAUGUCACCACUGUCCAAAGAAGAGGAAAUUGCAGCAGAACAAUUAAAAUCUCACAUGUCAGAUUCAUGAAGAAAUGGACUUGCAAAAGGGAAUCUUAAUGGAAAAGAUCAGUUCCAGAGAGAUUUAGGAAGAUGCUUUGUUAGUACUUGAUGACCAGAGGUUGAGGGAUGGUAAAAGAGAAGAUUUGACUUUGGUGGUUGAAUGGUGAUGCUUUUCCUAACAUAGGAGAAUAUAAGGACAGAUAUAAAUAGUAUUAGGUCAAAAUGAUGGGAUGGGAGUAAAGGGAUUUUAAAAAAACAUGCACAGGGUUGACAAAGUAGCUUACCUGGAUAGUGUGCCUGCUUUCCCCAGUCACCAUCACAUUGGAGGAAGCUUUCAUGCUAAGAUAUGUUAUCCCCUUUUUCUGUCUGUAAAGGUCACCCAGAGGGGUGAAAUCCUGGUGAUGACAAAAA